rnacentral:rRNA from 1 species
AGCCUACGGGAGGCAGCAGUGGGGAAUAUUGCACAAUGGGGGAAACCCUGAUGCAGCAACGCCGCGUGAGUGAAGGAGUAUUUCGGUAUGUAAAGCUCUAUCAGUAGGGAAGAAGAAAGACGGUACCUGACUAAGAAGCCCCGGCUAACUACGUGCCAGCAGCCGCGGUAAUACGUAGGGGGCAAGCGUUAUCCGGAUUUACUGGGUGUAAAGGGAGCGUAGAUGGCUGUGCAAGUCUGAAGUGAAGGCCCGUGGCUCAACCGCGGAACUGCUUUGGGAACUGUAUGGCUUGAGUACUGGGGAGG